GGAUUCUGCGCAAGGUACACUGAAGUGAUUGACUGCAGAGUGUCGUUUCAACACUGUCCCACUUGGUCACAGUUGCCGUGUCACAUUUCUCGGAUGUGGCGGCCCGGUCAGUUGCAGUGGGAAGCAGUCUCUCGAGGGCUAUGCGGAUUCUGGAGGCAUCCCUUGACCCCGCCGGAACCUGCUGCACUGCUGAAAGCUGGUCAGCACAACGAUAAAGCACAUGACCUGCAUGCUUUCAGAAAGAUGCGUACAAAACUCUCUACCUUCUUGCAUGCUCUGCUGAUGCAAGCCAUCGUACGUGCCUUUUGACUUCGUACCGUACCUGGGGAAGCGCUGCAAGGAGUGCCACGCCGGAAGCCCCGAUCAUCUCGCUUCGCCGUUUCCACGAUCUUUGCCAAGCGCAUGGCAAGCUCCUUGGCGAUCAUUUGGCAGCGGUGGCAGCUCGUGGGAACACCUACUAAUCGUUGAAUCCUCCUUGUUACAGAGAUCUUGUACAGCCCUGAAUGAUGCUCACUCAGUCAAGUUCAACGCCAUUAUUUCAGUCUGUAAGAUAGUUUCAGCCUGACACUCCAUCUGGCAUACCCUUCCGACACCUUACUCAUCCAAGCCACUAGCAUGGUGGACCUCGGCGAAGGAAUCCUCCUUGAUGAGGCCACGCUGGCACGACUGCGGCGAGAUGCAAAAAAACUAAGGCUCAAGAUUUGCACGGGGCCUCCUGAAGGUUCUUUUCAGCGCAGAAGAGUUGGAGCACAAGUCUCUAUUUGGGCGGCGUUCCAAUGCCCACAAGGAUGUCGCCCGAAAAGAGGCUUUGGGCCCAAGGCGCGUGAACGCCAUUCUGAGUAUGUGGGACAACGCAGACAACUAAAAUGUUUGCUUUAAUUCGUAAUUUGAAGUUAAAAUCUUGUGGAUCACUCCUUUGUGCUGUCCUGCCCAGGUACACUAACAGAGACAUAAGGCUAAACUAACUCCUUUUACUUUUUCUCUUCACUUCGACGUUGCAGAGAUCAAAAACACGUUGUCAUCGGUGCUUGCCUGCGGGUUUUGAAAUGUGCUAAAUAAAUGUUAGU